CUGUCUCUCUCUUCAGCGUCUCUUUAUCUCUCCGAUGCUCCUCUCCCUUCUCUCGCGAUCGCCGGGAACCGGAGCAUCGAUUCCUACUCCUUUUGGUCACCAUUACCUGAGAUACAUGAUGAGUUCAUGAACACCGAUUCGGAGCCAAGAUCCAGAACAACUUCGAGCCAAGAUCGAAGAUCUCAACUCCAAAGUCUCCUUCUUUAGAUUCUGGACUCCCUUCGAUGAUUACCACCAUCGCUCUACUCGUUGCUUCUCCAACAUCGUUUUAGUCGCUUCCGAUGACGAUUCCGGUAAACCCGCGUCUAACCCCAUUCCCGUCUCUGCCCAUAAGGCUGUUCUAGACUAUGAUGGAGAUGGGAAGCUCUCAUUCUCUGAGUUCUCUGACUUAAUCAAUGCUUUUGGCAAUCAACUAGCAGCUGAUAAGGUAUGGGACCUUGUUACUGGAAGACUUUUACAAACUCGAGUUUUUCCACUACCAAUUACUGCAAUAGUUGUUGAUCCAACAAAGAUGAAGUUAUUUUCUGGUGGUAUAGAUUACUAGUGAUUUUUUUUUUGUAUACGGAGGACAUCAUUUUUGUAUGAUUAUCUGUUUGUAUGGAAUUAUUAUUUUGGGUUGGAUUAUAUUUGGUUUGUAUAGAAUUUGAAGUUACAAGACCAAAUUUUUGGAUGGUUGAAAGUGAAAUAGAAAUAGACAUAUGUAUUAUUUUGUUUAUAUACAGGGUGCAG